rnacentral:rRNA from 1 species
GACGAACGCUGGCGGCGUGCCUAAUACAUGCAAGUAGGACGCAGUUGCGAACGGGUGAGUAACGCGUAGGUAACCUGCCUAUUAGAGGGGGAUAACUACUGGAAACGGUGGCUAAUACCGCAUACUGUAGGAUGAACCCAUAUGGGAUUAGCUAGUAGGUAAGGUAAUGGCUUACCUAGGCAACGAUCCCUAGCUGGUCUGAGAGGAUGAUCAGCCACACUGGGACUGAGACACGGCCCAGACUCCUACGGGAGGCAGCAGUGGGGAAUCUUCCGCAAUGGACGAAAGUCUGACGGAGCAACGCCGCGUGAGUGAUGACGGCCUUCGGGUUGUAAAGCUCUGUUAAUCGGGACGCGGUACCGGAAUAGAAAGCCACGGCUAACUACGUGCCAGCAGCCGCGGUAAUUC